rnacentral:rRNA from 1 species
UACGUAGGGGGCAAGCGUUGUCCGGAUUUAUUGGGCGUAAAGAGCGUGUAGGCGGCCAGGUAGGUCUGCUGUGAAAACUCGAGGCUUAACCUCGAGCUGUCGGCGGAAACCAUCUGGCUAGAGUCCGGAAGAGGAGAAUGGAAUUCCCGGUGUAGCGGUGAAAUGCGUAGAUAUCGUAAGGAAGACCAGUGGCGAAGGCGGGUCUCUGGACAGUUCCUGACGCUGAAGCACGAAGGCCAGGGGAGCAAACGGG